rnacentral:rRNA from 1 species
CCUACGGGUGGCAGCAGUCGAGAAUCAUUCACAAUGGGCGAAACCCUGAUGGUGCGACGCCGCGUGGGGGAAUGAAGGUCUUCGGAUUGUAAACCCCUUUUAUGUGGGAGCAAAUUAAAAAGAUAGUACCACAAGAGGAAGAGACGGCUAACUCUGUGCCAGCAGCCGCGGUAAUACAGAGGUCUCAAGCGUUGUUCGGAAUCACUGGGCUUAAAGGGUGCGUAGGCAGUUUCGUAAGUCGUGUGUGAAAGGCGCGGGCUCAACCCGCGGACUGCACAUGAUACUGCGAGACUAGAGUAAUGGAGAGGUAAGCGGAAUGCUCGGUGUAGCAGUGAAAUGCGUAGAUAUCGAGCAGAACACUCGUGGCGAAGGCGGGUUCCCGGCCAUUAACUGACGCUGAGGCACGAAGGCCAGGGGAGCGAAAGGGAUUAGAUACCCGAGUAGUC